rnacentral:misc_RNA from 1 species
UCCGGCUUAUCACCGGCAGUCCCACUAGAGUGCCCAACUUAAUUCGAAGCAACGCGCAGAACCUUACCAGCGUUUGACAUGCCAGGACGGUUUCCAGAGAUGGAUUCCUCCCCUUACGGGGCCUGGACACAGGUGCUGCAUGGCUGUCGUCAGCUCGUGUCGUGAGAUGUUGGGUUAAGUCCCGCAACGAGCGCAACCCUCGUUCUAUGUUGCCAGCGCGUUAUGGCGGGGACUCAUAGGAGACUGCCGGGGUCAACUCGGAGGAAGGUGGGGAUGACGUUUACGUGCACUU